GCAUGGCCUAAAUGUAGUUGUUGGGUUAACCACAACACAAUUGAUUUAUUUUAUUUAAAAUAAUACUUUAAUAAUAAAUUGCAUAAAUUUAUAACAUUUAACAUAUACUCGUUGCAUUGUUUAGAACCUCAUCAUAUAUAUAUAUAUAUAUAUAUAAAUAUAUAUAUAUAUAUAUAUGUAUGUAUGUGUAUGGAUGGUAAGGUCUAUGUGCCAUAAGUGUUUAACUGAUUAAAGCAAAGAUUAAAAUAAAACCCGAACAAGGGAAAACAA